rnacentral:piRNA from 1 species
UGGCCUUGAAAUCGGUGUAUGGUAUGACGGU